rnacentral:rRNA from 1 species
CCUACGGGAGACAGCAGUGUGGAAUAUUGGUCAAUGGACGCAAGUCUGAACCAGCCAUGCCGCGUGCAGGAAGACGGCUCUAUGAGUUGUAAACUGCUUUUGUACGAGGGUAAACGCAGAUACGCGUCUCUGUCUGAAAGUAUCGUACGAAUAAGGAUCGGCUAACUCCGUGCCAGCAGCCGCGGUAAUACGGAGGAUUAAAGCGUUAUCCGGAUUUAUUGGGUUUAAAGGGUGCGUAGGCGGUCGGAUAAGUUAGGGGUGAAAUCCCGAGGCUCAACUUCGGAAUUGCCUCUGAUACUGUUCGGCGAGAGAGUAGUUGCGGUAGGCGGAAUGUAUGGUGUAGCGGUGAAAUGCUUAGAGAUCAUACAGAACACCGAUUGCGAAGGCAGCUUACCAAGCUACUUCUGACGUUGAGGCACGAAAGCGUGGGGAGCAAACAGGAUUAGAUACCCUAGUAGUC